AGUGCUUUCCGGCUUGGCACGAUUUGCUUGACGUGCGGAGGGUCACAGGUUCAAGUCCUGUAUCGUCCACCA
rnacentral:tRNA from 1 species